AAUAGAUACCCGGGUAGUCCACGCCGUAAACGAUGAGUGCUAAGUGUUGGAGGGUUUCCGCCCGUUCAGUGCUGCAGCUAACGCAUUAAGCACUCCGCCUGGGGAGUACGGUCGCAAGACUGAAACUCAAAGGAAUUGACGGGGGCCCGCACAAGCGGUGGAGCAUGUGGUUUAAUUCGAAGCAACGCGAAGAACCUUACCAGGUCUUGACAUCUCCUGACCGCCCUGGAGACAGGGUCUUCCCUUCGGGGACAGGAUGACAGGUGGUGCAUGGUUGUCGUCAGCUCGUGUCGUGAGAUGUUGGGUUAAGUCCCGCAACGAGCGCAACCCUUGGUUCUAGUUGCCAGCAUUCAGUUGGGCACUCUAGAGCGACUGCCGGCGACAAGUCGGAGGAAGGUGGGGAUGACGUCAAAUCAUCAUGCCCCUUAUGACCUGGGCUACACACGUGCUACAAUGGAUGGUACAAAGGGCAGCGAAGCAGCGACGCAUAAGCGAAUCCCAGAAAACCAUUCUCAGUUCGG
rnacentral:rRNA from 1 species